ensembl:lncRNA
CCCUCACCCCUCCUGACCCUGCCCCCCCCCUCCCCAUGCUGCAGCGCGGCUCUGCGUCCUGGCUCCUGUCCAGAGUUCUGGUGCGGUGAUGGGGAGGGUCACGCUUUGCGUCUGACCCCGGGCCUGCAUGUUGGAUGUUGUUAUUAUUAGUGCUCCGUGCCCCCACCACCCCCCUCGCCGGGGGCUGGCGGUCCCCAAAAGCAGGAGGAACUGUCGGGCUCUGGAGAGGCUCUCGACCUGGAGCACAGCUGCGCGGGUUGGAGGCUGCCGGGGGCCCCCAGAGUCCACUGAGAGCACCGCUGCACCGGCCCUCCAGGAGGUCCACUGUUUCUCAUACGGACUCGCUCACUGCGCAGCUCAUGCCGCACUGCAGCAGGGCAGCAACAAACAGGUCAAACACUGUGCAAUGCAGCUCAGAAAUACCAUGCAUCACAUGCAACAAGUGAUGCUACGGGCGACGCGCACUGUGAGGACAUACGUGUUGUCAUCCAACACAUCAUUUCACCGUGUCAUCAUUUCUGGAUGUUCUUUUGGACGUUUGAGACCGUUGGUUCUCAACAUUUGACGGUGACCGCUUCAAAUAGAGCAAAGUGUACAUUUUUAAAAUCCACUGAUAAUUCUUGCAUAUUUGGCAAAAUUGAUUGAUUGUGUGACUUUAGAUAUUUAUACGUUUUACAUUUUUUCCAACCCCUCAAUCACCAUUGAUCAAUCAAGCCAUUGAACAUGUAAAAUAUUGAAGCAUUCAUUUGAGCUGUGUUGUAUUGUAACAGCUGCUCCUGUUCCAAUCACAGAAUUUAGAAAUGUUCACAAUGGAUAUCUCUAUUCUGUGCUGCAUAACUCACGUGUUGCAGAUGUAUUAUUUUUUGGCUAUCAACCAUCUGUUUCUUUGUGGAUAAAUCGCAGCUAUAGGAAGGCCCGGUGUAUUUAAAAGCUUACCGUACCCCUCCACCGUUUUAAUUCAGCCUAUUCUUGGCAGAUCUGGAGGGGGCGGGGUGUCUUCUAACUGUGUAAAUAGCUCUGAAAAUUGCGUGUGGCCUUUGACUGUCUCUGUAAUUGCGAGACUCUUGCAGUAUUUUGCUUUGGCAGUCUGAGAGGUUAACCCCUGAGGGCUGGAGGCCUGGAGCUCUUCGUCUGACUGGCAGAGGGCUCCUCAAAGCCCCACUUGUUCACCCCCCAGCCCGGCCAGCUAUAAAGCCGCCGCUGAUCCUCUACCAGACGAGAGGGAGAGUGGGCAGGCGGUUGCAUUCAGCCCUGGAUGAGGUUCUGCAGGGUGAAGUCUGAGUGGUACAGGGUCACACAGACACACCCGGUCGGGUUGUACCAGUCAGUAAGGCUUGCAGCCUCGUAAUCCCAUUAAUAUGGACACUGCUGCAGUAAGCGUUUUAUUAGUUACCUCACAAACCUUUUUCCAAUAUUCCCAGUAAAGUCCCUGAAGUCGAUGAUGUUCACAUGGACGCACUUUAGGUUAUAAUAGAUGGGUGUUUGAUGCAAUUCUGCACUACUAAUUUAUCCUGAUUAACAAAAGUGAUACAAAGCCACAAAAUGUGAUGAAUGAGUGUCAGAUUAGAAAAAUAUAUUUUGAGUGUAAUUCUUCCAAAAGCAACGUGGGACUGAAUCGUUUAACUAUAAUUCUGUACAUUAAUCGCUUGUUUUUGAAGGGUUUCACAUCCACGGUAGUGUUGACUUUGAAAUCGGGGGUCAAGUUGGGGACUGUUUGCAGUGAUGGACGAUGUCGCCGUAUCAAAUGGUCUGUAAAGAUGGAGAAAUUGUCGAGGACGACAACACGUGCAGUUUCCUCCUUGGGUUCCCAUAUUGUUCUCUCCGGCUUCGCUCCCCGUCGGCCUCCACAGCGACUCUGUACACCCCAGACAAAAGUACGCACGCAGGCAGAAAAGAAAUAUCAAGGCACAAAAGCUCUUUAUGUAAUGCUGUCAAGCUGCAUUGAUUUUUUCGUAUAUUUGACAGACAACAUAAAAUCGUUGCUUCAUGUCAUGUCAAGCUGGGCCCCGGAGAUCGCGUCGGCUCCGCCAGUAUCAAUCAAUUCUUUGGUCCAAGCGUUCUUUGGGCGAGAUGUUGUGGAGAGACACCGACUGUGAGUAAUUCAUUUGUGCGAACUCUCAAACGUUUGUUGCCUUUACACAACGACACAAAAACAAACUUUCCUAACAGAAAGUCAACCUGAGUUAGUGUUCGGUGACUAAGCUGUGCGGCGGUGGGGAGUCGGAGGAUGGAUCGACUCGAGGCCUGCAGCAGGAAAGGGGUGCUGGUUUGUCUCUGGUGGGGGGGGGGCAGCUGUGUAAUCAGACCUGUCUCUGACCCUACCUGUCCGGACGUCCCUCCGCCGCGUGCAGACGUCCCCCCUGCGCCCUCCAUCAUGUCCGUGUGUCGGGCACACGCUGAUGGACCGCCGGUCGGAUGCGAGCCCUGAGCCGGCCGGCCCUGAUUGGUCUGAUUUAGUGGAGGAUAUAUAACCGCUACUACAGUACAUUAUUAUUUGCCCACGACGUUAAUCAGGGCAUUAUUUAAACGCCCAUUGAUUUACCGUCGAUCCGUGGCCCCUCGAGCACAACGACAGAACUUCAUGGAAACACAAUUCACAACAUUGAGGUGCUUCUUUCAAUUUUUUUCAUCCAGGUAAUAUUGAACUUCUUGCUCCAGUACACUUAUCGGACCCCUGUAGUGACUGUUUACUUUAAGAGAGAGAGUCAGACCUACGACACAGCAAAACAUACAAAUAAUUUGCAAUAAUGAACUGAAUGAUGAAGCUGUUAUUUAUUUUAAAUAUAUAGAGAUAACAACUAUGGAAACGCCAGCUCACCUGCUGGCUGUGAUAAAGAUAAACAAAGAAGCUAUGACCCAUUUGGGGUGGGGAGGUAACCGGGGGGGCUUCACUGUGAUGAGGAAGCACGUUAUCCGCUGACAUUGUUUGGCCCGUCCGACGGCUGAGAGUUCAACGUGACACAGCGAGAGGAAGCAGCCAGAGUCGGACGCGUGGAGGCUCCGCGCUCCAUGUCGAGAACACUAAGCUCCGUAUUUGCGGUGCUCUUGUUGAGGAUAACAGCCUCUCCAGCCCGGGUUAGGAGAGGGGCUCCCUGCAGCUGCUGUCUCUGAGGCUGAUUAGUGCGGUGAUGAGCGAGUGAGGGCCGGGUGAGCCGAGCGCGCGCGCGCGCACACACACACACACACACACACACACAGACACACACACACACACACACACACACACACACACACACACACACACACACACACAUGCUCUGAAAGGGUUAAGCAGCCGGUUAGGGAGGAGACCUGCUCUGUGUCCAGGAUGUUGAGUGCUGCGGAGCGAUGGUGUGCUGUUACACUGCAUGAGGCCUCGGCUCCACUUGGGUUCUGAUUGGGCCUGUAAGAUCACAGCCGCCACCACCACCACCACCCCCACCCCCACCUCCCUGAGGGGUUCUCUCUCCACAUCCUCCCUGUUGAUUAUCACCACUGCCAGAGCUGACUCUUGCACUCCAGCUGCUGUCCACACACACUCUGGCUCUGGGGCUAAUUUAACCAGGCUGCAUGGAGGGAGAAAACUUUCUCACACGGGCCUGAAGAAGCGGAGCUGCUGCAGCGAAGCUCCUCCCGGGCUUCAGCUCGCUGCCCUCCACCAAGCCAUCGCCGCUCUGUGACUAAAGAGCCGCCCCGCUAACACGCCGCGCCUCAACGAUCACAGCAAGGUCCCACAGUCCUCGUUGCUCGGGGGGGUAUUUCAUCAGCGCAAAAGUGGACAGUGAAGGUUUCCCUGCAGACCAACAUGUGUUCUGCUCUCUGCAGGUGUUUCCUCGGAGCAAAGUCGGAGCAGAGGGCUCGCUCGGCUUCCUGAAAGGUGACUCUCCACAGUCAUCUUCAAUUAGAAACUAAGCGUGUAGGCUCCUAAUGCAAAACACACACACGCUAUCUUUCUAGCUACUGUAUAUCAGAGCAUAGGGUGCUUUUGUCUCAAUACGAUAGAUUAAUGUAUGAAAGAGGGCUGAAUUCUUAUUUGUUUAUUAGGGUUUUUCCAGUUAUUGUUAUGUGAUAAGAGCAAAGGCUGAAUAAUUCACAGAGAGAGAGAGAGCUGCCUAAACAUCUGUUUCACUUAGUGAGUAAGGGAGAAAAACCCAAUAACUGACCAGUGAAACUAAAGGUCCGGAGUCAGACUCAAAUGUGGCCUUGCUGAACAAAAUACCCAUAAACCACUUGGGUUUGUGCCAGCAGCUUUGCAUUAAAGCAGCGUUAAGCGAGUGUGGAUGAUUGUUGAUGUCGGCCUCUCGGAGGACUCCGGUGUGUCUCUGCCUCCCGGGUCAAACAAUUGGGCUGAGUGGGCAAGACGCUGCUCCGGCUCCCCACUCCCCCCCCUGCCGACGUCCCCCCCCGUUAAAUGGGAGCAUUGUGACUGCAGACCUGUCCUCGUCAUGUACACUUUCUUUUUUCCUCCUUCUCUCCCAGCACAUAAUGACCCCAGACUCCGUGACGACAGGCAUUGUUUCCGACUGAGCCGGCCAAUAGAAAUUAAAGAUGAGGAUCUGAUUCAGAGGCAGCUGCGGGUCUUUUUCUGCCAUGUACUGUCAGUAUAAUACUGUGUCCAACAAUAUUUUAACUGUGAGGGUAUGCGUAUUGUUUUAAUCAAUUCAGACGUCUUGACGGAGUAAGAAUUCAAUUGUGGCAUUAGACCUGUGAUCUGAUGCAUUCAUGCCCUCACAUGUGUAAAAUGCUGUUAUUAUAUAUUUAUAGUAUGAAUCCCUAUAAUUUAAGUUAUUGAUUUUAUUUUGCAAGGUUCGGCGAUGUGCACAGGUUUCAGAUGUUUUCAGGGUCCAUGGCUUGGAUAUACAUGUAUAUUUUCUGAGGAGGUGAUCAAACACAUGACAAUCACACAUACAUUAAAAACAGAGAAACAAGCACUUUUAUUAAGGUUGAAAUUGUUUCAAAUAAACCGUUCAAACACCGUUUAGUUUCUUCUCUGCCGUAAUUUCCCUCCGUCAGGCUGAACAGUGAACAAUGCAGUCACACUAUUGCUGGCAGGUAUUUAAUCUCUUGUAGCCAUUUUAUCUGGGAAUUCCCCUGUCUUACAGAUAUGAAGUACAAUUUGGUGAAAGAGUUAUGUGAAGAUCACCCCCCCCCCCCCCCCCCCCC